rnacentral:tRNA from 1 species
GCCCAGGUGGCGGAAUUGGUAGACGCGCCACCUUGAGGUGGUGGUUCCCAUUAUACGGGAGUGGAGGUUCGAGUCCUCUUCUGGGCA